rnacentral:rRNA from 1 species
AUUGAACGCUGGCGGCAGGCCUAACACAUGCAAGUCGAACGAGUGGCGGACGGGUGAGUAAUGGCUGGGAAACUGCCUGAUGGAGGGGGAUAACUACUGGAAACGGUAGCUAAUACCGCAUACCAUCGGAUGUGCCCAGAUGGGAUUAGCUAGUGGGUGGGGUAAAGGCUAACCUAGGCGACGAUCCCUAGCUGGUCAGAGAGGAUGACUCGCCACACUGGAACUGAGACACGGUCCAGACUCCUACGGGAGGCAGCAGUGGGGAAUAUUGCACAAUGGGCGAAAGCCUGAUAGAGCCAUGCCGCGUGUAUGAAGAAGGCCUUCGGGUUGUAAAGUCCUUUCAGCGGGGAGGCGUUACCCGCAGAAGAAGCACCGGCUAACUCCGUGCCAGCAGCCACGGUAAUAC